UUCAAUAUUCACAUCAGUUAAACUAAAUUAAACCUUUAAUUAAUCCACUUUAAAAAUUCAUUUCAUUAACUGCUUCAAUUUCAUAGCAUUUAAACACCCUAAUUAAUCAAACACAUUUAACAAAAAAAAAUGAUAAUUAAAAUAGCUAGCAACAAUCCAAUUCAAAACAAGGAAAAUCACAACAAAAACCCCAUUUAAUUAAAAAAAUAAAAAGACAUAAAGGCCAAUUUUCUAAUUGGUCUAUCUACCAAUACAAAGGCC
rnacentral:lncRNA from 1 species